AUAAAAGGAGCCUUGGUUCCCUGCAAACCUCCCACAAGCCCCUCAUAGAGAAAGCAAACAACAAGAGCAGCAACCAUGCCAAGAGUCAAAACCUUCCUCAUCUUUCUCUUGCUGAUCCUUCUCCUUGAGUCUUCUUCUUGCCAAGCUGGAAGAACUCAAACUGGGAAGGAACCUGCAUACCUGGUGGCCAAGAUGAACAGCAGAAAGGCAUUACUGGAGACUACAUUAGAUUAUGAUUAUGGAGGAGCUAACCCUAAGCAUGACCCCAAGAAAGGAAAGCCAGGGAUUGGAGGCAAACCCUAGCUUAAAGCCUCUUCUGUCCCACUGGAUUAGUCUCAUCUUUACUGUUUCUUUCUCUGCACAUCAACCUGCAGCAUCAAAAACACAUAUAGAUAUUUAUGUUCUACAUGUUGUCAAAUUUUUCAACUGUAUGGCAAUACUGAGAUGCCGAUGUUCAUGUGGUUCUUGUUGAGGCAGGAGCUCCCUACUCGAUCUUCUUGUGCCGCUGAACAAUACAUGUACUGGUUUGAAUCAGAGUGUAGCCUUUGAAUCAGUAAAAUGAGAGUGAAUUUGUACUACUAGUCUCUUGUUUCAUGUAAUAAUCCGUAAGGAAGCAAGUCAAUGAUCUUAUAUGUGUGUUAUCAUUUCA